UGAAGCGUCAAUGCCGGAAAUCCUGAAGAAUCUGGCUAUCCUCGCCUGAGACUUCAACGGCGAAGGAGUUCCGUCGGCGACGAACACCGGGAAUGCGCCGAACUGCCGCCACAAUUUCAUCACCCCCAAGAAUUAGAAACUAAACUUCCCCAAACUUUUGAAAAGGGAGAGAGACAGUGAGAAAGGGGGAGAGUCCUUGGAGAAGAGGUUCAGGGUGCGGAAGAAAGUGAGGCGGAGGUGAGGAUUGACGGAGUAGGUUUUGAUGGCGGGGGUGGUGUUGGGGGUCGCGGAAGAAAGAGCGUGAGGCGGAGGUGAGGAUUGACGGAGUAGGUUUUGAUGGCGGUCUCGUGCUGGACGAUCCAGUAAGAAAGAUCGACGGCGACCUUUUUGUCUCUGAGGAAAUCAGGAUCCUCGUGGCGAGCGAAGGGUUUUAGCAAGUCCCAGAACUUGCCGCCGACGC
rnacentral:lncRNA from 1 species